GUAUAGAAAUUUUUAAAUAAAGAAAGGGUCGGCUGGACUUCGGCUAAGUGACAGAGAGAAAGAAAUCCUAUUAGAAACCUAAAGAAGUUCAACGCUACAGAAACUAGAGAAAUAUUCAAAAAAUGAAAAAGAGCAACGACAAAGGGUGGAAGCAAAAGUCAAAGCCCAAUGCGAAAAGCUUCCUGAUAUAAGCAGAAGCGGCCAGGAGGAGGGACGCUAGCCCAGUCAGUUGGCCCAGGAAGCUCAAACUCAUACUUCAGAGGAACUCCGUACUGAAUCCUGAUCAGCGAGAGUUCAUCUGAAGUCAAAGUGCUAGGAAUGGUGUCUGGUACAA
rnacentral:lncRNA from 1 species